CAAAGGGCUCACGGAGGAUACCUAGGCACACAGAGGCGAUGAAGGACGUGGUUACCUGCGAUAAGUCUCGGGGAGUUGGAAGCACACUUUGAUCCGGGAAUUUCCGAAUGGGGCAACCCCUUGAACGACCAACUGAAUAUAUAGGUUGGUGCGAGCUAACCCAGCGAACUGAAACAUCUUAGUAGCUGGAGGAAGAGAAAGUAAAUAACGACUCCCUCAGUAGCGGCGAGCGAACGGGGAAUAGCCCAAACCGAUAGUCUUGACUAUCGGGGUUGUGGGACAGCAAUAUGGAUCAACAAUUCUAGAAGAAACGUUUGAAUGGCGUGCCAUAGAGGGUGAAAGCCCCGUAAUUGAAAGAUGAGUUGACCUAGCUGUAUCCCGAGUAGCACGGAGCACGUGGAAUUCCGUGUGAAUCUGCGAGGACCACCUCGUAAGGCUAAGUACUACUGUGUGACCGAUAGUGAAACAGUACCGCGAGGGAAAGGUGAAAAGAACCCCGGGAGGGGAGUGAAAUAGAACAUGAAACCGUGAGCUUACAAGCAAUGGGAGCCCGACUAAUCGGGUGACCGUGUGCCUGUUGAAGAAUGAGCCGGCGACUUAUAGGCACUGGCGGGUUAAACCGGAAAUGGUGGAGCCACAGCGAAAGCGAGUCUUAAUAGGGCGUUUGUCAGUGUUUAUAGACCCGAACCCUGGUGAUCUAACCAUGGCCAGGAUGAAGCUUGGGUGAUACCAAGUGGAGGUCCGAACCGACUGAAGUUGAAAAUUCAGCGGAUGAGCUGUGGUUAGGGGUGAAAUGCCAAUCGAACCAGGAGCUAGCUGGUUCUCCCCGAAAUACGUUGAGGCGUAGCGUCUAGUGCUCCAGCAGGGGGGUAAAGCAACCAUUUCGGUGCGGGCUGCGAAAGCGGUACCAAAUCGAUAUGAACUCUGAAUACCCUGUGUGUAACUAGGCAGUCAGACUGUGGGGGAUAAGCUCCAUAGUCAAGAGGGAAACAGCCCAGACCGCCAGCUAAGGUCCCAAAAUUAACGCUAAGUGAUAAAGGAGGUGGGAUUGCCCAGACAACCAGGAGGUUUGCCUAGAAGCAGCCAUCCUCAAAGGAGUGCGUAAUAGCUCACUGGUCGAGCGAUCCUGCGCCGAAAAUGAAUGGGGCUAAGCGUUAUACCGAAGCUGCGGAUAAAUUUAUUUAUGGUAGGGGAGCGUUCUAUGUUGGGUGAAGCGUUAGCGUAAGCGGACGUGGACGGCAUAGAAGUGAGAAUGUCGGCUUGAGUAGCGAAAACAUGGGUGAGAAUCCCAUGCCCCGAAACCCUAAGGGUUCCUCCGGCAGGCUCGUCCGCGGAGGGUUAGUCUGGACCUAAGGCGAGGCCGAAAGGCGUAGUCGAUGGAUAACAGGUCAAUAUUCCUGUACCAGUUAUGUUUUGGGAAGGGGGACGGAGAAGGCUAGCCAGGCCAGAUGUUGGUUACUGGUUCAAGCGUUCAAGGCUUUGAGAGAUGGAGAAAACAUCUUGAGCUGAGGCGUGAGUACGAGCUGCUACGGCAGCGAAGUUGGUGAUGUCAUGCUUCCAAGAAAAGCCCUAUACCCGUUAAGACAUAAAUGCCAGUACCCGAAACCGACACAGGUGGGGUGGUAGAGAAUACCGAGGGGCGCGAGAUAACUCUCUCUAAGGAACUCGGCAAAAUGGCCCCGUAACUUCGGGAGAAGGGGUGCCAGCGAGAGCUGGUCGCAGUGAAGAGGCGCAAGCGACUGUUUACCAAAAACACAGGUCUCCGCUAAGUCGCAAGACGAUGUAUGGGGGCUGACACCUGCCCAGUGCCGGAAGGUUAAGGAAGCUGGUUAGCUUUUAGCAAAGCUAGCGACUGAAGCCCCGGUGAACGGCGGCCGUAACUAUAACGGUCCUAAGGUAGCGAAAUUCCUUGUCGGGUAAGUUCCGACCCGCACGAAAGGUGUAACGAUUUGCGCGCUGUCUCGGAGAGAGGCUCGGCGAAAUAGAAUUGUCUGUGAAGAUGCGGACUACAUACACCCGGACAGAAAGACCCUAUGAAGCUUUACUGUAGUUUGAUAUUGUGCUCGGGCUCUAAUUGCGCAGAAUAGGUGGGAGACAUUGAAAUAGUGCUUGUGGGCAUUAUUGAGUCAUCGGUGAGAUACCACUCUAUUAGAGCUAGGGUUCUAACGCUUACCCGUUAUCCGGGAAGCGGACAGUAUCUGAUGGGCAGUUUGACUGGGGCGGUCGCCUCCUAAAAGGUAACGGAGGCGCACAAAGGUUCCCUCAGGCUGGUUGGAAAUCAGUCGUUGAGUGCAAAAGCAGAAGGGAGCUUGACUGUGAGACCUACAAGUCGAACAGGGACGAAAGUCGGUUUUAGUGAUCCGACGGUUCUGCGUGGAAGGGCCGUCGCUCAACGGAUAAAAGUUACUCUAGGGAUAACAGGCUGAUCUCCCCCAAGAGUUCACAUCGACGGGGAGGUUUGGCACCUCGAUGUCGGCUCAUCGCAACCUGGGGCUGAAGUCGGUCCCAAGGGUUGGGCUGUUCGCCCAUUAAAGCGGUACGCGAGCUGGGUUCAGAACGUCGUGAGACAGUUCGGUCCAUAUCCGGUGUAUGCGCAGGAAUAUUGAGAGGAUUUCUCCCUAGUACGAGAGGACCGGGAGGAACGCACCUCUGGUGUGCCAGUUAUCGUGCCAACGGUAAACGCUGGGUAGCCAUGUGCGGAGUGGAUAACCGCUGAAAGCAUCUAAGUGGGAAGCCCACCUCAAGAUGAGUAUUGCCAUGGCUUAAGCCAGUAAGGUCACGGGAAGAACACCCGUUGAUAGGCUCUACGUGGAAGCUUGGUAACAAGUGCAGCGGAGGAGUACUAAUAGACCGAGGGCUUGACCA
rnacentral:rRNA from 1 species